GGACGGUUAGCUCAGUGGUAGAGCAUCGCCUUCACACGGCGGGGGUCACAGGUUCGAGCCCUGUACCGUCCACCA
rnacentral:tRNA from 1 species